AAAUCAAGCACGUCGUCCACCCCCUGGAGAAAGUAGCCCCGCCGAAACACCAGAAACAGUUGUGCACGAGGAAAGCGCCACGUCUGACUGCACAGAUGAAGGAAGCGAAAUUGCUUCUAACCCUGAUGUUGUUCUCCCCACAACAAGUCGAGAGCUUUCCUCACAUCGAGCGGGAGAACCAAGUGCCACACCAAACGACAUAAGACCUACUAACCCCACUCCUGCGCUUGCUACUGGUAAGGACACCCCCACCCCUGUCCGUCCAACUAAUCCUACCCCUUCACGACUACACGACAGGCCUUAACGACUGCUAAUCCUCGUCCCAGUAAUCCAACACCUCUCCAGGCCUCUGAGCCUCUUUUCCAAGAUUCCUCUCUCCAGGGGGACUCCUCACAGUGGAGAGUCCCCCUCGUCACAAGAGGAGAGAUUGGAAGGACCCAUCGAACUAAAGGACCCAGAUGGCUAUGAAAACGGUCUAAUUGUUUCAGAUCUAUAAAAUCGAGGACCCCGUGCGUCGUGGUGUACACACAGUGUCUGUGACUGGUGAUCAGCAUAAAGUCGCGAAUCUUUGAGGCUUAGAGCUGCAGCCUCCACAGGUGUCUUUUGGGGUGCUAAAGGAAGGCUGCACUUACGUCCAUAGUGUAAUACUGAAAAAAAUCGGCAUUGAUAGUUGUCGUUGCAAGAUAAAGCAGCCACCACUAUCGACUGGCUUGCCUGUCAACCUGGACUGGUAACCCUUGUCUCUUUUAUCUCGUUAUUAAUCUACAAUCAGAAACCCAACGUAUGUUAUCUGUUCUGGAUGUGAAGAUUUUUGCUGGGGCAGUAGGCGAGGUCGGAGAUAGUGGCUUAGGUCACGUGGGACAUCCUGUGGAAAUAGCUACAGAGACUGAUGUACUUUAUCUUCCUGUUACAGCAAAUGUCCUUUUGAAUCACACCCGUGUUUACUAAGAAAUAAGGUCA